rnacentral:rRNA from 1 species
CCCCUCGCUGCCUGUUGCCACCACGAGAGGUGGGGACGUCAGGCGGGACCGCCGGUGGACAAACCGGAGGAAGGUGGGGACGACGUCAAGUCAUCAUGGCCCUUACUGUCCUGGGCUACACACGUGCUACAAUGGCCGGUACAGAGCGCAGCGAGGCCGCGAGGCGGAGCGAAUCGCUUAAAGCCGGUCCCAGUACGGAUUGGAGUCUGCAACCCGACUCCAUGAAGUUGGAAUCGCUAGUAAUCGCGCAUCAGCAUGGCGCGGUGAAUACGUUCCCGGGCCUU